GGUUAAGCGACUAAGCGUACACGGUGGAUGCCCUGGCAGUCAGAGGCGAUGAAGGACGUGCUAAUCUGCGAUAAGCGUCGGUAAGGUGAUAUGAACCGUUAUAACCGGCGAUUUCCGAAUGGGGAAACCCAGUGUGAUUCGUCACACUAUCAUUAACUGAAUCCAUAGGUUAAUGAGGCGAACCGGGGGAACUGAAACAUCUAAGUACCCCGAGGAAAAGAAAUCAACCGAGAUUCCCCCAGUAGCGGCGAGCGAACGGGGAGGAGCCCAGAGCCUGAAUCAGUGUGUGUGUUAGUGGAAGCGUCUGGAAAGGCGCGCGAUACAGGGUGACAGCCCCGUACACAAAAAUGCACAUACUGUGAGCUCGAUGAGUAGGGCGGGACACGUGGUAUCCUGUCUGAAUAUGGGGGGACCAUCCUCCAAGGCUAAAUACUCCUGACUGACCGAUAGUGAACCAGUACCGUGAGGGAAAGGCGAAAAGAACCCCGGCGAGGGGAGUGAAAAAGAACCUGAAACCGU
rnacentral:rRNA from 1 species